GUGCCAGCCGCCGCGGUAAGACGAACCGUGCAAACGUUAUUCGGAAUCACUGGGCUUAAAGGGCGCGUAGGCGGGCCGCCAGGUCCGGGGUGAAAGCCUCCAGCUCAACUGGAGAAGUGCCUUGGAUACCGGCGGCCUCGAGGGAGGUAGGGGCGUGCGGAACUUCGGGUGGAGCGGUGAAAUGCGUAGAUAUCCGAAGGAACACCGGUGGCGAAAGCGGCGCGCUGGAUCUCUUCUGACGCUGAGGCGCGAAAGCCAGGGGAGCAAACGGGAUUAGAAACCCCCGUAGUCC
rnacentral:rRNA from 1 species